rnacentral:rRNA from 1 species
AUUAAACGCUGGCGGCAUGCCUUACACAUGCAAGUCGAACGGUAACGGGCCUUCGGGUGCCGACGAGUGGCGAACGGGUGAGUAAUGUAUCGGAACGUACCUUUCAGUGGGGGAUAACGUAGCGAAAGUUACGCUAAUACCGCAUAUUCUGUGCGCAGGAAAGCAGGGGAUCGCAAGACCUUGCGCUGAUUGAGCGGCCGAUAUCAGAUUAGCUAGUUGGUGAGGUAAAGGCUCACCAAGGCGACGAUCUGUAGCGGGUCUGAGAGGAUGAUCCGCCACACUGGAACUGAGACACGGUCCAGACUCCUACGGGAGGCAGCAGUGGGGAGUUUUGGACAAUGGGGGCAACCCUGAUCCAGCCAUGCCGCGUGAGUGAAGAAGGCCUUCGGGUUGUAAAGCUCUUUCGGCCGGGAAGAAAUCGUAUCAGCUAAUACCUGGUGCGGAUGACGGUACCGGCAUAAGAAGCACCGGCUAACUACGUGCCAGCCGCCGCGGUAACAC